CCUACGGGAGGCAGCAGUGAGGAAUAUUGGUCAAUGGACGCAAGUCUGAACCAGCCAAGUCGCGUGAAGGAAGACGGCCCUAUGGGUUGUAAACUUCUUUUAUAGGGGAAUAAAAGGAGCUACGUGUGGCUUUCUGCAUGUACCAUACGAAUAAGGAUCGGCUAACUCCGUGCCAGCAGCCGCGGUAAUACGGAGGAUGCGAGCGUUAUCCGGAUUUAUUGGGUUUAAAGGGUGCGUAGGCUGGUUGUUAAGUCAGGUGUGAAAGUUGUGGGCUCAACCGUAAAAUUGCCAUUGAGACUGGAAGGCUAGAGUGUAGUUGAGGUAGGCGGAA
rnacentral:rRNA from 1 species